CUAUUACUUAUGUGUUGUGGAUUUAUUUCAUAGGCUAAAUUGUUAUUGUAGGCAAAGCAAGGCAGGCACAUUUGUAAUAAACAGUGGUCAAUCAAAGUCAAAAUAUAAUGUGGUUGCUUGUAUGGUAGCAUAUGCAUAAGGUAUCAUUAACUAACAAUGAACAAUAUAUUCUUUACAGAAUUUAUUCUAAAAAUACAAUUUUCAUAGUGCAUUCAUUAAUGUAAAUAAUACAACAUAUACAACAUUUAAUUUAAAAAUUGUGUUAGUAUAUGUUGAAAUAAAGAUUAACCAAGAUUUAUAAAUGCUGUAAAAGUAUUGUUUAUUGUUACUUCAUAUUAACUAAUGUUGUUAACUAAUGUAACUUUAUUUUAAAGUGUUACCGCUUGUAUUUUAAAUUAUAAUCCAAGAGCUGUUUGAUUUUACACCACUGGAGAGCGCUAUGCAAUGAGUUGUGUUUUGUAAAAUUGUAGGCCAGUUGUAACUUUUUUUGAAUAUAAAAUGUAAUGUUAUACAGAAAAAGAUAGUUUUACAAAGAGAACUUUUAUUUUGAAACAGGACUUUAUAUUUACAUACAUUUAUCUAGUUGUUAAGCCAUCGUAGAACAAAACAAACAAACAAAUAAACACCACCACUGAUGCAUUUUGUACGGCAUUAUAUUAAUAAUCAACUGCUAGUACAAAGUCACAGAUGUGUGUAUCAACCAGCUUUUUAAAAUCAAGAAAUUAUUAGAUAUGACAAAGGCAGAACAGUACUUUACUGUGACCUGAGCUACAGGGCAACGGGAAGACCGUGACAAAAUUCCCUGAUACGAUAUCUUUAAAAUCUCUUCUAGUUAGUCACUUUCAAGAUGCUGGCAAUCAAACAUUUCAUUUGAAUCAAUUAAACAUGAAAAGAAAACAACUUAAUAAUUGAUGCAUACAUUUUUGCUCAGAUAGCAAAUAUGACAAGACAAAAAAGUUACUCGUGGGAGAUAUUGUGAAAUGAGGAUUAUGAAAACAUUUGCCAAUAAAAUAAAAAUAAAAAGAACCACAAAAAUAAUUCAGCUGUGCCAUAAAACUGCUCCGUCUUACAAUCUGUAUCUAAGGCACAGGAAGAGAUAUGGGUUAUGUUUGGAACAGCAUACUACUCUUACCAUUUCUGUAGUAUUUAGCAUGCGUACUAUGCAUAGUAUGCACAUUUUCUGCAUGCAUACCCGCAUGACCAGCUACAUUUGCUAAAAUUACAGUUUUCUUUUUUUAGAUUUACUCUUUAACCAGACUGCAAACGUAAAUAAAUUGUUUAGCAGAGAAUUCGAUCAAAAAUCUGAAAAUUUUCCCGAUGCCAUGUGAUGACAUCGAAGUAGUGUACUAAAUAGUGCUGCAUAAUGCAUACUGUUUUUACACACUAUUUUAAAAUGUAGUAUUUAGAGGUUAACCGAUAGUGGAUUUUGCCAAUACUGAUAACUAAGGUGGUGGAAAAGGCCGAUAACCGAUUAAUCGUCUGAUAGUUUUAAAAAAAUUUUUUUUAUUGAUUUAAAGAAUGUUAAAAAACUCUUAGCCUAUACUUAAUGUGAAGUGCACAGACACAGAGGCUAUAAGAGUCCAAAAUAAAUAAAAUCACAGAUGGAGUCUAUUAUGCGACCAAAAUCCCAAUAAUAACCAGAAAAAUUAAGAUUUGGUGCAUAAAGCGGGACUUUUAAUUAUAAACAAGCCUGAAACACACUAGGGACUCUUAUUUUGAAUGAGACUUUUCUCCAUUACAAUGUUCUACAAUGCUCUAGAAUAACGAGGGAAUUAAAUAAAGAAAAAUAUCAUCAACUAUCGGCACAGAUUUUGGCAGAUACUGAUAGUUAAAAAACAACAACUAUUGGUUAUCGGCCAAAAUCUGUGCCGAUAGUUGCCGAUAUUUUGCUUUAUUUUCUUUAUUCAAUUCCCCCGUUAUUCUAGAGCAUUGGUCCCUGCUCUAGAAUAACGGGGAAAUUAAAUAAAGAAAAAUAUCGGCAACUAUCGGCACAGAUAUUUGCAGAUAACAACUCUCGGUACCGAUUAAUUGGUAAAACUGAUACAUCGGUCUACCUCUAGUAGUAUGCAGUAUACAGUAUAUUUUGCUGUAGUAGUAGUAUGUUAGUGUUUCAUUCCAAACAUACAAGUAAGAAUAAGGCAGAGGACGAACUCAAAGCUUUCUGAUGGAUUCAUUUCAUUUUAAAACAGACAUAUUUAUACAUCAAACAACAAUUAAAUCAUUGAGCAUUAUCAUAAGCAUAUAAACUGAUUUGAAAAUAAUUUCUGGACAACACAAAGCUAACAAGAACGCAAGAAUUAAACGAUGCACACUAAACGUGAUUUUACUGCAUUUACUAAUUUUCAAAAAUGUCCCGGUAGUGUGUUACGACUCCGGAGUGCACAUUAAAAUGGAGAGAUAUAGAGAAAAUCUGGCAGGAUUUACAAACUAUUUGGCUUGACUUGUGUCAUUUGGCAGUAUAGAUAAUCUGCACUGUCAAUAUGUACAUUAGUAUCGCCAUUCUUGUUCCUGAGACCUGAUGUACAGUACAUCAACUGAGGACCUGAAACACCAAACAAAUGUCAAAAAUGUAGGACAGUACUUGAUUUUAUCCAUCAGGAAUUGAUUGGAUGUGGAAAGUGGUCUCUAUAUAUGACAGGUGGUUGGAUGGGAGGGUUUAAAAAAUAAGAGUGCUUGAUGACAUCAGCCGAAAAUGAAAGUUGUUUCAGAGGCGGAGUAAGUUAUUACCUUUUGCUAGCUAAUAACUAAAAAGAUAAAUAAAAAUUGAGGGAAAGCUCAACACACUCCAUUUAAGAGUUGUACAGGUCCUCCACGCUGCGGGAAUCAAAAAGGAAUGUGGUUAUUAUUACAUAAAUUUCCAUGCAAGUGUCUUAAGAUGACAAAUCAAGCUGCUACUGGGUUGCUGGUUCUCCAUAUUUACUGUUCAUUGCACUGCAUUCAACUCAUUAAUUUCACAAUACCUUCUAUAUAUUAAUAAAGUAUAAAAGAUGCAAUUUAUUAACAACAUAGUCAUAAUCUUGCGCAAUGCAUAAUACCUAAGCCGUUACAGCACUGGACCAUCACAGCAAGCAUCCGCUAUUUACAGAGUUACAACGCUCUAUCGUUUCCAGUUAAAAUCAAACAUUUUACAGUUUAAGUGCAUUAAAACCCCUUUGCAGAAAAUGUGGGCCAAGAUCUGAUAAAGUUGGCAUCGUUUGCAUAUUAAGGGGCGUUCACACGGACAGUGAGAUUUGUAGUGACAAAACGUCUUUAAGUCAUUCAUUUUCCACUACAGUAAGCAAUUUGAGCAAAAUGAGCAAUAGCGACCACUAGUGGCGAAACAAAGUUCGUCAACUAGUCGAGAAGAUACAGUACCUACCAGCAACCAACAGUACAGUGACACGGCGACCUUCAGUGAUUUAAAAUGCAUGUCAAAGCUAUUAUCGUUAGUGAAAAGUAUUGCAAAGACAACUAGCAGUGAAAAAAUAUUUUUGUUAACUUAAAAAUAAAACGGAGUUUGCGUAAGUGCGAAAACCAAACUGACACUAUAAAUGUGCACUAAGAUACGAAUGAAAACUCAAGAAAGUCUUCGAUUUUUUAGUACGAAAACAGCCAUCUGAUUAACCUGUAAAACAACCAACCACAGUUGGCUUGUUGCAUUUUCUGAUGAAAGUCUGCAAAACUAAUUUUGACAAUUUAUAAUGCUGUGUUGUUAGGGAUUAAAAUGAAAACACUGAAACGAAAUAAAAACUCAAAUAAAACUCGUCAAUUUCGAAAGAUACAAGAAAAAUAAAAACUAUUUCCGAAUAAUUAAAACUAAAACUAAACUGAAACUAAAAAUCUAAAUAAAAAAAUGAAAUAGAAAAACGAGUGAAAUUUUCUAAACUAUAAUCCUUGUCAGUGUGAACGCCCAGAGUAGUGACCAAAUGUUUUUCGGACUUUUCUUGCAUUGAAGGUAGCUAAAGAUUUGAGCAUUUUUUUUUUUUUAAGUUAAGAGUGACGAUAAUCUGUUAUUACUCGUAAUAGUUCGGGACGGAUAGCUCGUGACCCAUGGAAAACUAAAUGUUCUUGUACAUAUAUGGGUGCCUAUAUACUAGAGCUUUUGCAUUUGUUUUUAACAUAGAUAACUGCAAGUUAAGUUUCCAUGUACAAACAACGGUACUACACUGACAUACUGUAAACUAUUAGCUUCUCUGUCUGGUUUGUAAAGGAAAGUACAGUUUGAAAAUGUACCCGUUUGAAAGCAACGUUACAAACCCUCGUUGUUGAAGGCAGAUAUGUAGUUCACUAUGCAGACAUGAGGAGGCACUGCGGUUUUCAGGGAAAAUCUGUAUUUUUCGAGUGGGUUUCAGGUGUGGGCUUUCGAGAACUAUUUCAAACUUGAUUGUAAUGAAGUCUAAUUCAUAAGAUUUAUAAACAAGAAAAUGUCUAAGAAAUAGGCUUCAUAGAAGCUGUUUAUUUCAGCGUGUGCAGCAAAAAUAGACUUAGCGCCGACACUACUUGCAGUGCUAAUGCUGUAACUUGUUAAUAUGGUUCAUCAUUAUUUCUUUGCAUAAUUUAGCCCUUUUAUUGCUAGAUUUCUGUGUGUACUUCUAUAUGUAGUGUUGACUGCGGGGACUGUGUUUUGUGUUUGAAAGUUGCACUGGCAUAUGCUAACACAGUCGAGAUGUCCAGGAUGCUAAUACGUGUCCUAACCAGACAUGACGCAAUUAAGCAACAAGCGAUCGAUUCUCUCUUCCAAGUUAAUUUGAGUUUUUGUCAUAACCAGCUACAACAUAAUGCAAUAUUUUGCUGCUCGCUUGGUUGCGUUGUUCUGUGUAGCCCCGCCUACGGUGAAAUCUCAUUGGCUAAAAUCACACUCCACAUAGUACUUUUUGCUGUGGUUUUAUCGCAUUAUGCAGCAUUUCAACUGUGAUUUUUUUCACAUCAUGCAGCAUUUACGCUGAUUUUAUCGCAUCUCGCAUCGUUUACGAUUUUAUCGCGUCACGCAGCAUUUUUGCGGUGAUUUUAUUGCGUCAUACAGCAUUUCCACUUUGACUGUAUCCCAUCACGCAGCAUUUUCGCUGUGAUUUUAUCACAUCACGGAUAAUUUCUUAUGGUUUUAUUGCAUCAUGCAGCAUUUUCGCUUAGAUUUUUAUCGCAUCAUGCAUUGUUUUCGCUGUGAUUUUAUAACAUCAUGCAGCACUUCCACUGUAAUUUUAUCACGUCAGACAGCACUUCCGCUUUGAUUUUAUCGCAUCACGCAGCAUUAUAUCUGUGAUUUUAUCGCAUCUCACAUAAUUUCUGAUAAAUUAUAGCAUAGUUUCUGAUGAUUUUAUCGUGUCACGCAGCAUUAUCGCUGUGAUUUUAUCGCAUCUCGCAUAAUUUCUGAUGAUUUUAUCGCAUCACGCAGCAUUAUCGCUGUGAUUUUAUCGCAUCUCGCAUGAUUUUAUUGCAUCACAUAG